rnacentral:rRNA from 1 species
UACGUAGGUGGCAAGCGUUGUCCGGAUUUAUUGGGCGUAAAGAGCCCGCAGGCGGCUCGAUGUGUUUUAGGUGAAAUCUCCCGGCUCAACUGGGAGGGGUCCUAGAAAACUAUCGGGCUUGAGGCAGGGAGGGGGAUGCGGAAUUCCAGGUGUAGCGGUGAAAUGCGUAGAUAUCUGGAGGAACAUCAGCGGCGAAGGCGGCAUCCUGGCCCUGUCCUGACGCUCAGGGGCGAAAGCGUGGGGAGCAAAC